UACAGGGGGGGCAAGCGUUGUUCGGAAUUACUGGGCGUAAAGCGUGCGCAGGCGGCGCGUUAAGACAGGUGUGAAAGCCCCGAGCUUAACUUGGGAAUUGCGCUUGUGACUGGCGUGCUGGAGUGUGGCAGAGGGAGGUGGAAUUCCACGUGUAGCAGUGAAAUGCGUAGAGAUGUGGAGGAACACCGAUGGCGAAGGCAGCCUCCUGGGCCAGCACUGACGCUCAUGCACGAAAGCGUGGGGAGCAAACAGG
rnacentral:rRNA from 1 species